rnacentral:rRNA from 1 species
UACGUAGGGUGCAGGCGUUAAUCGGAAUUACUGGGCGUAAAGCGUGCGCAGGCGGUUUGCUAAGAGAGAUGUGAAAUCCCCGGGCUUAACCUGGGAACUGCGUUUCUAACUGGCGAACUGGAGUGUGGCAGAGGGGGGUGGAAUUCCGCGUGUAGCAGUGAAAUGCGUAGAGAUGCGGAGGAACACCGAUGGCGAAGGCAGCUCUCUGGGACGGUACUGACGCUGAGACGCGAAAGCGUGGGGAGCGAACAGG